GAUGAACGCUGGCGGCGUGCCUAAUACAUGCAAGUCGAGCGAACGGACGAGAAGCUUGCUUCUCUGAUGUUAGCGGCGGACGGGUGAGCAACACGUGGAUAACCUACCUAUAAGACUGGGAUAACUUCGGGAAACCGGAGCUAAUACCGGAUAAUAUUUUGAACCGCAUGGUUCAAAAGUGAAAGACGGUCUUGCUGUCACUUAUAGAUGGAUCCGCGCUGCAUUUGCUAGUUGGUAAGGUAACGGCUUACCAAGGCAACGAUGCAUAGCCGACCUGAGAGGGUGAUCGGCCACACUGGAACUGAGACACGGUCCAGACUCCUACGGGAGGCAGCAGUAGGGAAUCUUCCGCAAUGGGCGAAAGCCUGACGGAGCAACGCCGCGUGAGUGAUGAAGGUCUUCGGAUCGUAAAACUCUGUUAUUAGGGAAGAACAUAUGUGUAAGUAACUGUGCACAUCUUGACGGUACCUAAUCAGAAAGCCACGGCUAACUACGUG
rnacentral:rRNA from 1 species